UACGUAGGUGGCAAGCGUUGUCCGGAAUUACUGGGCGUAAAGGGCGUGUAGGCGGGCUAUUAAGUCAGAUGUGAAAUAUCCGGGCUCAACCUGGAGGGUGCAUCUGAUACUGGAAGCCUUGAGUGCAGGAGAGGACAGUGGAAUUCCUAGUGUAGCGGUGAAAUGCGUAGAUAUUAGGAGGAACACCAGUGGCGAAGGCGGCUGUCUGGACUGUAACUGACGCUGAGGCGCGAAAGCGUGGGGAGCAAAC
rnacentral:rRNA from 1 species